rnacentral:rRNA from 1 species
UGCAGCAGCUGGAUCAUUUU